rnacentral:rRNA from 1 species
UACGGAGGGUGCAAGCGUUAUCCGGAUUUAUUGGGUUUAAAGGGUGCGCAGGCGGGAGAUUAAGUCGGCGGUGAAAUUUUGCAGCUCAACUGUAAAAGUGCCUUCGAUACUGGUUUCCUUGAGUGUGGAUGAAGUAGGCGGAAUUUGUGGUGUAGCGGUGAAAUGCUUAGAUAUCACGAGGAACUCCGAUUGCGCAGGCAGCUUACUAAACCACUACUGACGCUCAGGCACGAAGGCGUGGGGAUCAAACAGG